rnacentral:rRNA from 1 species
CCUACGGGUGGCAGCAGUGAGGAAUAUUGGUCAAUGGACGAGAGUCUGAACCAGCCAAGUAGCGUGAAGGAUGACUGCCCUCUGGGUUGUAAACUUCUUUUAUAUGGGAAUAAAAUGUUCCACGUGUGGGAUUUUGUAUGUACCAUAUGAAUAAGGAUCGGCUAACUCCGUGCCAGCAGCCGCGGUAAUACGGAGGAGCCGAGCGUUAUCCGGAUUUAUUGGGUUUAAAGGGAGCGUAGGUGGAUUGUUAAGUCAGUUGUGAAAGUUUGCGGCUCAACCGUAAAAUUGCAGUUGAAACUGGCAGUCUGGAGUACAGUAGAGGUGGGCGGAAUUCGUGGUGUAGCGGUGAAAUGCUUAGAUAUCACGAAGAACACCGAUGGCGAAGGCAGCUCACUGGACUGCAACUGACACUGAGGCUCGAAAGUGUGGGUAUCAAACAGGAUUAGAUACCCGAGUAGUC